rnacentral:rRNA from 1 species
GACGAACGCUGGCGGCGUGCUUAACACAUGCAAGUCGAACGAUGAAGCUGGAGCUUGCUCCGGUGGAUUAGUGGCGAACGGGUGAGUAACACGUGAGCAAUCUGCCCUUGACUCUGGGAUAACUGCGGGAAACUGUAGCUAAUACCGGAUAUGAGGCUCGAAGGCAUCUUCGGGUCUGGAAAGAAUUUCGGUCAAGGAUGAGCUCGCGGCCUAUCAGCUUGUUGGUGAGGUAACGGCUCACCAAGGCGACGACGGGUAGCCGGCCUGAGAGGGUGACCGGCCACACUGGGACUGAGACACGGCCCAGACUCCUACGGGAGGCAGCAGUGGGGAAUAUUGCACAAUGGGCGAAAGCCUGAUGCAGCAACGCCGCGUGAGGGAUGAAGGCCUUCGGGUUGUAAACCUCUUUUAGCAGGGAAGAAGCGAAAGCGACGGUACCUGCAGAAAAAGCACCGGCUAACUACGUGCCAGCCGCCGCAGUAA